rnacentral:lncRNA from 1 species
CGACCCAGCUUCCCUUGUCCAGGGAGCAACUCAGACACAGUCUCGCUUCAUUUUUAUUCUGGGGUUGUACAAUCUAAGGGCCGGCCCGCGUGCUCGCUUGCCAUUGGCUGGGGACUCCAGGGCAAGGGAUAUAAGCCAGAGCCUAGACCAGUGAGCCAACUGUGCGAACCAGACCCGGCAGCCUUGCUCAGUUCAGCAUAGCGGAGCGGAUCCGAUCGGAUCGGAGCGGAUCGGAGCACACCGGAGCAGGCUCAUCGAGAAGGCGUCUGCGAGACCAUGGAGAACGGAUACACCUAUGAAGAUUAUAAGAACACUGCAGAAUGGCUUCUGUCUCACACUAAGCACCGACCUCAAGUUGCAAUAAUCUGUGGUUCUGGAUUAGGAGGUCUGACUGAUAAAUUAACUCAGGCCCAGAUCUUUGACUACGGUGAAAUCCCCAACUUUCCCCGAAGUACAGUGCCAGGUCAUGCUGGCCGACUGGUGUUUGGGUUCCUGAAUGGCAGGGCCUGUGUGAUGAUGCAGGGCAGGUUCCACAUGUAUGAAGGGUACCCACUCUG